GCUAAAUGCUUGUUUCGAAGUGGUUUCCUGUUGCUUUUAUCCCAUUGUUUCCACGGUCUUGUUUUUCAUCCUGUCCUCUGGGGAUUUAGUAGGAUUGCCCCAUGGUCCGGUGAAAGGAACCCAGCCACCAAGCGGGGGAAAAACCUCACCUGUUUACUUUCCCCAGCCUGUUAUUUGGCCUUCCUCUAGGUAAGUUUUCCCACAGGCUACACCUCCUUCCCCCCUGAGGGAGGGUUUGUUUUUGUUUUUCUGUUUGUUUGUUUUUUUUAAAUAGUUGCCACUUUGUGUGAAAAUUUUAUAUUUGUCUUCACAUGUCCAUUAAUCAAAUUUUGCUGCUGCUUGUAUUCCUCACCUGUUUGUAGGAACCACCAAUCCAACUGGCACUGUUCUGGCAUUCAAAAAUAAAUCCAUGCAGUGUAAAGAGAGCUAGAAAGAGAGAUGGGCAUUUUCUGCAUGCUUAUCUUAAAGUCAGUAAUUAUUUCUCAGCGCAAAGGAGAACCGUGGUUGACAGACAUUCAAUACAGUUGCUUGUGUAAGCAAUUAAAAAUAUCUAUACUAUUUAAUUAGUGACAACUAAGCUUUCUUUAAAAAACAAAACAGCUUUCUCCAAGGUGUUGUGACACAAGCCUGUAAUUCUAGCCCCUUAAGAGGAUAAAGCCUGAAGACAGCAUUCAAGAUGACCCUGAGCUAGGAAGAGAGCUCUAGUGUUUUGCUUGCAGGUAUGUCUGUGCACCAUGCUCAUGCAGUGACCACAGAGGUCAGAGGAAGCCAUCAAAUCCCAUGGGACUGGAAGUAGAGAGUGUGUGAGCCACCACACCAUGUGGGUGCUGGGAACUGAGCCUGUUGAGCCAUCUCGCCAGCCGCCUUCAGCGAUGUUUUGGAGAUCUAGAAAUGGGACUUUGACCAGAGGAGAUGGCUCAGUGGGUAAAGUGCUUGCCUCGAAAGCACAAGUUCAACUGGGAUAGUGUCACCUGUCGUCCCAGGACCCAGGAGGAAGGUCAGAGACACCUUGUGGGAGCCGGACACGUUUCCUAGCAUGCAUGAUCUGGAUGUUUGAACUCAGGCCCUCGGCCGUGGCCACAAGCACCUUCACCAAAUGGUUCAUCUCACCACCCCUGGAGGGUGAAGUGAACUCAUGUCAGUAGCUCUGGGCAACAAGUACUUUUACCCAGGAGCCAUUUCAAUGAUUCAGAUCUUUUAAAAUGAACCAUUGCCCAUGCUCUUGGUAAGUUUAUUCCAAAUAAAAGCUGCUGUUACACACUGGAAAGGCUCUGUGUUUAAAGGUGCUUGCUGCUCUUCUAGAGGAUCCAAGCACCCAGUUCAAGCAGCUCACACUCAUCUGUAAACUCCAGCUCCAGAGGGUCUGAUAUCUAAUGCUGCUCUCUGAGGGAUCCAAUACCCACGUAACACACAGACACACAAAAAUAAGAACAAAAAUAAAUCUUUUUUAAAAACUCUGUAGCUAAAAGUACUUACUAACUUCUUCCCCAAAGUCCCUGUUUGUCAAGCAGGAAACAGAGAAUGGGCACUAGGCAUGUGGAGCAGGAACCUGAACCCCUGGGACUGCCCAUUGGAAAGAAAAGGCUCUCGGAAUGCAACUGGAAGCUCGGUGGUAGACCACUGGCUUGGCGUGUGUGGGUCCCAGUUUCAUCUCUGGCACGGAAAAAAACAAAACAAACAAAACAAACAAAAGCAUUAUAAUACAAUCAGCCUUUGGACGUGGGCCCAGACUUGUUUUUCCCCAAAACCUCCAUGGUUGAUUUUAUUAUGUGGCCUGAAUUGGGAACCCCUGAUUUUAGUCAUCAGAAGUAACUAACUCCUAACUCCUAUUGGUGCCUGCAGAGAACCCAGUCAGGGUGAGGAGUAUUUUCCAGGUCCUAGUAUACAUGUGAUUUUAUUAUUGCUAAUCUAUGGAUAACUCCAAUCUCCUGAAGUUGUCAUCAGGGGAUUAACUUUAUGAAUUAUGGCUACCAACAUCAGUCUUGGAUCAAUGUAUUAACAGGGCUGGGACCACAUGCACAAUGGUCUCUGAGGCCAGGACAGUUAUGCUAAUGAAGUGAGCAAGUAAGUUAUGUGCAAUGGUACACACAUGUAAUCCCUGCCCUUGACAGGUGGAGGCAGGAUAAUCAGGAGUUCAAGAUCACAGGAGCUGGAUAGAUGGUUCAGUGGUUCAUUGCAAAGACCCCAGGUUUAAUCCCAGCAUCUGUAACUCCAGUUCCAGCAGGCCUUCCUCUUCUGGUUUCUGACUGAACUUCGUGCACAUGGCUCAUAGACAUAUGCAAAUCUUAAACUGCAUCCUGCAGCUUAAAAAAUUUAAAAACAAAAGCAAAAGAAAGCAACCAUCGGCAAAACAAAACAAAACAAAAAAAACAAACAAUGAACAAAAACCACAGUGGAAUGAUCCCAGAGAGAAAGUUGAAUACCUAACCCUAUGCUAUAGACUAUUUGUGAUACUCCACCCCCAUGACCACCAUAUUGAAAAUCUCAUUCUCAAGUGUUAGCGUUUGGAAAUGGACCUUAAGUAGUUGGUAUGGCUUGGAUUUUGGAGGAUUUUCAAAGGCCUGUGUGUUAAGAAGUGCUGGAACUGCUAACAGGUGAGGUGUCAGCGCUGGACAUAGGCCCUGGCUUUGAUCCUAGCUGAGGAGUGAGAUCAGAAGAACUGGACCUAACGGGAGCUCUUAGGCCAUCGAGGCCUGUCCUUGGAGAAGAUUGUGAGCACCAGACUCUACUCUUUUCUUACGGUCCUGGAUGUGAGUGGUGGAUUUUUUGUCACACUUAGCAUGGUAUAUAUGCCUUAUCACAGUCCCAAAGCAACAGUGCCAACAUGGAUGGAAACUCCAAACCUGGGCGCCAAGACAACCUUUUCUUCUCAUAAGCUGACGCCUCAAGUGUUUGUUGUAAUAGUGGAAAACUGACUAAUAAUGGAAGGUGAGGGGUUAGAUGGGAUUGUGAGGGUAAACCAUAGUCCAAUGAGGUUAGUGCCUGUUAAAAUCUCUCUCUCUCCAAUGAGAUCAGUGUCUUUUUAAAGAAAAAGAACUCUCUCUCUCUC
rnacentral:sRNA from 1 species